ensembl:lncRNA
AACCGAAGGUGGGAAUUCGGACCCCCUGCGUGUAAAAGAGAAGGGAAGGGCCGAAGGGUUAAGGCUGGAGGAAGAGCUGAAGGUUGCCCUGUGCGGGGACUGUGCUUCGAGUCCUGCUGUGCCCUCUCCCACUGUUCAGAAGCCCAGGCCAGGCCAGGGCCGUGGGAGAGUUGUUAGCAAGGAGCUGCCCGGUCCUCUCCCUUCCUCCCUUUGCCCUCCCACAACACAGCACAGCAGUCAAGGCAGAAGCAGCCUCGUGGAAGCCAGAGGUUUCCAGAGACUGGGGUCAGCCCCAGCACACCACACCACAUACCACAAGUCAUACCACGCAUGCGGGAGGCCCGCUGGUACUUGACAGGGAUUUGGGGGCUGAGUUCCCUGCUUGCAUUCUGUGGCCCAAGGCGAGGGGACUCCCCACCCCUCCAAGCAGACAAGCAGGAAGACUUGGCCGACCCACCUUGCGUAGCAGGAGCUGCUCCUGGACGUAGACGGCCACCGCAUCCCAGACGGCAACUCGCUCUGGAGGGCAGAGGAAAAGCGGGUCACACUCUGCUUCUGCCGCUUCCCAGUGCUCCUACUGCCUCGCAGCGGGAGGGAGGUGGCAGAUGGAAAGUGUCCUCACUGUCCCCAGCCCCAAAGGGAGACAGCCCUGACAUGGUCCCCGUGCUGGCUCUCCCGCUCAGUGCCAGGACUUGCUGGCAGCUCUGCUCCUGUGCUGCCAGUGGACCCGCGUACCUUUGGCGGUGACCUCUGGCAUUCUGUAGUCACGCUGUGUCGCGGGGCCAUCCUCCCAGAAUUGGAUCUUGGCCCGCUUCACCGCAGCAGGACGCCCCGCAUUGGCAACAGCCACGUGGGAGCUCAUCCCUUCCAGAUGCAUCUGCUCUCUGCCCGAUGCUCCUUCAGGAUGCAGGGGCCACCACUGGGGACCGCCUUCAGACCCCUCCUGGCUGGCCGUGUCAUAGACGUCGCCACGGCGACACAGCGGCAAGCGGCCAAUGCUGUCAGUUGCCCAUUAUGACAAGCGCUGGCACAGCAGCCUGCUGCCCGCCCUGACACGGCACGAGCCCAGCUCUGCGCCUUGCUGGUUGGCACUCCCCACACCUGGACCCCUUGCGUGCCAGCAGCACCACACCAGAGGUGGUGGUCCUGGGCCCCUCGCUCCUAAACUUCAGUCAUUUGGCUGAUCGGGAGCUUGGUGGCUGCAGCGCUCACUUACUCCCUUUGGGCACCGAGGGCAGGCUGGCCUUUGAGCUCCAUGAAGACCACGGGGCGGGUUUCGCUGCCUU